AUGCACGCUGGCGGCGUGCCUAAUCCAUGCAAGUCGAGCGAACAGAUGAGGAGCUUGCUCCUCUGACGUUAGCGGCGGACGGGUGAGUAACACGUGGAUAACCUACCUAUAAGACUGGGAUAACUUCGGGAAACCGGAGCUAAUACCGGAUAAUAUAUUGAACCGCCUGGUUCAAUAGUGAAAGACGGUUUUGCUGUCACUUAUAGAUGGAUCCGCGCCGCAUUAGCUAGUUGGUAAGGUAACGGCUUACCAAGGCAACGAUGCGUAGCCGACCUGAGAGGGUGAUCGGCCACACUGGAACUGAGACACGGUCCAGACUCCUACGGGAGGCAGCAGUAGGGAAUCUUCCGCAAUGGGCGAAAGCCUGACGGAGCAACGCCGCGUGAGUGAUGAAGGUCUUCGGAUCGUAAAACUCUGUUAUUAGGGAAGAACAAAUGUGUAAGUAUCUAUGCACGUCUUGACGGUACCUAAUCAGAAAGCCACGGCUAACUACGUG
rnacentral:rRNA from 1 species